AGAGUUUGAUCCUGGCUCAGGACGAACGCUGGCGGCGUGCCUAAUACAUGCAAGUAGAACGCUGAAGAGAGGAGCUUGCUCUUCUUGGAUGAGUUGCGAACGGGUGAGUAACGCGUAGGUAACCUGCCUUGUAGCGGGGGAUAACUAUUGGAAACGAUAGCUAAUACCGCAUAACAAUGGAUGACCCAUGUCAUUUAUUUGAAAGGGGCAAAUGCUCCACUACAAGAUGGACCUGCGUUGUAUUAGCUAGUAGGUGAGGUAACGGCUCACCUAGGCGACGAUACAUAGCCGACCUGAGAGGGUGAUCGGCCACACUGGGACUGAGACACGGCCCAGACUCCUACGGGAGGCAGCAGUAGGGAAUCUUCGGCAAUGGGGGCAACCCUGACCGAGCAACGCCGCGUGAGUGAAGAAGGUUUUCGGAUCGUAAAGCUCUGUUGUAAGUCAAGAACGAGUGUGAGAGUGGAAAGUUCACACUGUGACGGUAGCUUACCAGAAAGGGACGGCUAACUACGUGCCAGCAGCCGCGGUAAUACGUAGGUCCCGAGCGUUGUCCGGAUUUAUUGGGCGUAAAGCGAGCGCAGGCGGUUUGAUAAGUCUGAAGUUAAAGGCUGUGGCUCAACCAUAGUUCGCUUUGGAAACUGUCAAACUUGAGUGCAGAAGGGGAGAGUGGAAUUCCAUGUGUAGCGGUGAAAUGCGUAGAUAUAUGGAGGAACACCGGUGGCGAAAGCGGCUCUCUGGUCUGUAACUGACGCUGAGGCUCGAAAGCGUGGGGAGCGAACAGGAUUAGAUACCCUGGUAGUCCACGCCGUAAACGAUGAGUGCUAGGUGUUGGAUCCUUUCCGGGAUUCAGUGCCGCAGCUAACGCAUUAAGCACUCCGCCUGGGGAGUACGACCGCAAGGUUGAAACUCAAAGGAAUUGACGGGGGCCCGCACAAGCGGUGGAGCAUGUGGUUUGAUUCGAAGCAACGCGAAGAACCUUACCAGGUCUUGACAUCCCGAUGCUAUUUCUAGAGAUAGAAAGUUACUUCGGUACAUCGGUGACAGGUGGUGCAUGGUUGUCGUCAGCUCGUGUCGUGAGAUGUUGGGUUAAGUCCCGCAACGAGCGCAACCCCUAUUGUUAGUUGCCAUCAUUCAGUUGGGCACUCUAGCGAGACUGCCGGUAAUAAACCGGAGGAAGGUGGGGAUGACGUCAAAUCAUCAUGCCCCUUAUGACCUGGGCUACACACGUGCUACAAUGGUUGGUACAACGAGUUGCGAGUCGGUGACGGCAAGCUAAUCUCUUAAAGCCAAUCUCAGUUCGGAUUGUAGGCUGCAACUCGCCUACAUGAAGGCGGAAUCGCUAGUAAUCGCGGAUCAGCACGCCGCGGUGAAUACGUUCCCGGGCAUUGUACACACCGCCCGUCACACCACGAGAGUUUGUAACACCCGAAGUCGGUGAGGUAACCUUUUGGAGCCAGCCGCCUAAGGUGGGAUAGAUGAUUGGGGUGAAGUCGUAACAAGGUA
rnacentral:rRNA from 1 species